rnacentral:rRNA from 1 species
UACGAAGGGGGCUAGCGUUGCUCGGAAUCACUGGGCGUAAAGCGCACGUAGGCGGACUCUUAAGUCAGGGGUGAAAUCCUGGAGCUCAACUCCAGAACUGCCUUUGAUACUGGGAGUCUUGAGUUCGGGAGAGGUGAGUGGAACUGCGAGUGUAGAGGUGAAAUUCGUAGAUAUUCGCAAGAACACCAGUGGCGAAGGCGGGUCUCUGGACAGUUCCUGACGCUGAGGCACGAAGGUCAGGGGAGCAAACGGG